UACGGAGGGUGCAAGCAUUAAUCGGAUUUACUGGGCGUAAAGGGUGCGUAGGCGGAUAUGUAAGUCAGGUGUGAAAUUCCGGUCCUUAAUGCCGGAGCUGCACUUGAAACUGCACAUCUUGAGGAUGGGCGGAGAGAACGGAAUUCCAUAUGUAGCGGUGAAAUGCGUAGAUAUAUGGAAGAACACCUGUGGCGAAAGCGGUUCUCUAGCUUAUUACUGACGCUGAUGCACGAGAGCGUGGGGAGCAAACAGG
rnacentral:rRNA from 1 species